GCUGACGAGCGGCGGACGGGUGAGUAAUGCAUAGGAAUCUGCCCGGUAGUGGGGGAUAACCUGGGGAAACCCAGGCUAAUACCGCAUACGCCCUACGGGGGAAAGCAGGGGCUCUUCGGACCUUGCGCUAUCGGAUGAGCCUAUGUCGGAUUAGCUAGUUGGUAGGGUAAAGGCCUACCAAGGCGACGAUCCGUAGCUGGUCUGAGAGGAUGAUCAGCCACAUCGGGACUGAGACACGGCCCGAACUCCUACGGGAGGCAGCAGUGGGGAAUAUUGGACAAUGGGGGCAACCCUGAUCCAGCCAUGCCGCGUGUGUGAAGAAGGCCUUCGGGUUGUAAAGCACUUUCAGCGAGGAAGAAAGCCUGGUGGCCAAUACCCACCAGGAAGGACAUCACUCGCAGAAGAAGCACCGGCUAACUCCGUGCCAGCAGCCGCGGUAAUACGGAGGGUGCGAGCGUUAAUCGGAAUUACUGGGCGUAAAGCGCGCGUAGGUGGCUUGAUAAGCCGGUUGUGAAAGCCCUGGGCUCAACCUGGGAACGGCAUCCGGAACUGUCAGGCUAGAGUGCAGGAGAGGAAGGUAGAAUUCCCGGUGUAGCGGUGAAAUGCGUAGAGAUCGGGAGGAAUACCAGUGGCGAAGGCGGCCUUCUGGACUGACACUGACACUGAGGUGCGAAAGCGUGGGUAGCAAACAGGAUUAGAUACCCUGGUAGUCCACGCCGUAAACGAUGUCGACUAGCCGUUGGGUCCCUCGCGGACUUUGUGGCGCAGUUAACGCGAUAAGUCGACCGCCUGGGGAGUACGGCCGCAAGGUUAAAACUCAAAUGAAUUGACGGGGGCCCGCACAAGCGGUGGAGCAUGUGGUUUAAUUCGAUGCAACGCGAAGAACCUUACCUACCCUUGACAUCCUGCGAAC
rnacentral:rRNA from 2 species